AUUGAACGCUGGCGGCAUGCCUAACACAUGCAAGUCGAACGGUAACAGGAAGCAGCUUUCUGCUUCGCUGACGAGUGGCGGACGGGUGAGUCAUGUCUGGGAAGCUGCCUGAUGGAGGGGGAUAACUACUGGAAACGGUAGCUAAUACCGCAUAAUGUCUCAAGACCAAAGAGGGGGACCUUCUGGCCUCUUGCCAUCGGAUGUGCCCAGAUGGGAUUAGCUUGUUGGUGGGGUAACGGCUCACCAAGGCGACCAUCCCUAGCUGAUCUGAGAGGAUGACAGGACACACUGGGACUGAGACACGGUCCAGACUCCUACGGGAGGCAGCAGUGGGGAAUGUUGCACAAUGGGCGCAAGCCUGAUGCAGCAAUGGCGCGUGUAUGGAGAAGGCCUUCGGGUUGUGAAGUACUUUCAGCGGGGAGGAAGGGAGUAAAGUUAAUACCUUUGCUCAUUGACGUUACCCGCAGAAGAAGCACCGGCUAACUCCGUG
rnacentral:rRNA from 1 species